GACGAACGCUGGCGGCGUGCCUAAUACAUGCAAGUGGAACGCACAGUUUAUACCGUAGCUUGCUACACCAUAGACUGUGAGUUGCGAACGGGUGAGUAACGCGUAGGUAACCUGCCUGGUAGCGGGGGAUAACUAUUGGAAACGAUAGCUAAUACCGCAUAAUAUUAAUUAUUGCAUGAUAAUUAAUUGAAAGGUGCAAUUGCACCACUACCAGAUGGACCUGCGUUGUAUUAGCUAGUAGGUGAGGUAACGGCUCACCUAGGCGACGAUACAUAGCCGACCUGAGAGGGUGAUCGGCCACACUGGGACUGAGACACGGCCCAGACUCCUACGGGAGGCAGCAGUAGGGAAUCUUCGGCAAUGGACGAAAGUCUGACCGAGCAACGCCGCGUGAGUGAAGAAGGUUUUCGGAUCGUAAAGCUCGGUUGUAAGAGAAGAACGGGUGUGAGAGUGGAAAGUUCACACUGUGACGGUAUCUUACCAGAAAGGGACGGCUAACUACGUG
rnacentral:rRNA from 1 species